UACGUAGGGGGCAAGCGUUGUCCGGAAUCAUUGGGCGUAAAGAGCGUGUAGGCGGCCCGGUAAGUCUGUUGUGAAAGUCCAGGGCUCAACCCUGGAAAGCCGAUGGAUACUGCCGGGCUAGAGUUCGGAAGAGGCGAGUGGAAUUCCUGGUGUAGCGGUGGAAUGCGCAGAUAUCAGGAAGAACACCAAUGGCGAAGGCAGCUCUCUGGGACGGUACUGACGCUGAGACGCGAAAGCGUGGGGAGCGAACAGG
rnacentral:rRNA from 1 species